GGGGGCGACCUGGUUUCGACGGGGUCGGAGGACUGCCGACUGCAUGCCGAGAUCCCAGAAUCUCGUAAAACACUGGAAAACAAAACAAAUGACACUGAGCACUUCGCUCUCGCUGCCUAAAUAGCGCAGCGCGUUCCCCGGCCGGAGGGACUCCGGUCCGGCCGACGGAGCGCCGUCAUCCGGAGCCUAGCCCCGAGCAGCGUCUUCUGGCGACGGGCGAAACUUUAAGUGAAGACUGGACGAGCCGUGGGUAGGUCACGACGCCAGCGGUGAGUCGAGAUUCAAGCCGUGACUACGCAUGGAGACGUCGUCAGGGAGCCGGUCUUGGACGCGGGUUCGAUUCCCGCCGCCUCCACCA
rnacentral:tmRNA from 1 species